rnacentral:lncRNA from 1 species
CAGAGCUAGUGUGGAGGCAGAUGUGUGUGUGUGUUUAUAGGAGCAGUAUAGGGAGGAUCCCUGGUGUAGUUGGAUAUGGGACAGACAGACAGACAGACAGACAGACAGACAGACAGACAGACAGACAGACAGACUUGGAUAUGGGACAGACAGACAGACAGACAGACAGACAGACAGACAGACAGACAGACAGACAGACAGACACUGUUGGAUAUGGGACAGACAGACAGACAGACAGACAGACAGACAGACAGACAGACAGACAGACAGACAGACGUAGUUGGAUAUCAGACAGACAGACAGACAGACAGACAGACAGACAGACAGACAGACAGACGUAGUUGGAUAUCAGACAGACAGACAGACAGACAGACAGACACUGGUGUAGUUGGAUAUCAGACAGACAGACAGACAGACAGACUGGAGUAGUUGGAUAUUUGGACACUAGGCUAACACCCUCCAUGUGAUUGUCUGAAAUGACACCCUAUUCCCUACAUAGUGCAGAGUUCUCCGGUCAAAAGUAGUGCACUAUCCCAUAGGGCUCCGGUCAAAAGUAGUGCACUAUCCCAUAGGGCUCCGGUCAAAAGUAGUGCACUAUCCCAUAGGGCUCUGGUCAAAAGUAGCGCACUAUGUAGGGAAUAGCAUGCUGUUUCAGACACCGCCUGUCUGUCUGUGGAGUGUAAAGAUGUGUUGUUGAUUCUAAUCACAAUCUUUUUGUAAAUUGCAUCAAAAUGGUUUAAAAGCCUCCAUCGGGUUUAAGUUACUGUACAACUGGAAGAUGAUUGGCUGAUGUUUUAAUGAUCCUCUCAGGUGGUCACUGCUUUGAUUGGACGGGAUGAAAUGGUGCUCUGUGAAUGGCUGUUAUGUUGAUGGGGGGCGGGUCUGACCUGUUCUCUCUCUCUGUUUCUAUUGGUCACAUUACUGAUCCGUCUGUCUGUAAAUACAGCUACUGUCUCGAAAGGCAUCCUUUUGGUCGUUACUAGUUAAUACAGCCACAAAGUCAUACUUAUGGCUAAACCCCGCCUAUUUCUAAAAUGUUUAUUCUUAAAAUCAGAUUUUAAACCUAACCCUAACCACAAUGAUAACCUAAUGCCUAACCUUAUUAAAUGAAGUCCAAAAAGCACAUGUUUGUUUUCAUGAAUUUUUUACGAUAUAGCCAAUGCCCUGACUUUGUGGCUGUGAUACAGACAGGAAGUACACUAAACUACAGGAAGUGCUAGGUCACAUGACGGAACAAUUCCAGAAUGAAGUGCAGGUUCUAGAACCAUCCAUGUAGCUAAUGAUUGUGCCUUCUGUUUUACCGUCAUUACGUCCCUAAUGGCACCGGUAGUCCCUAUGUAGUGCACUAGUUUUGGCCAGUCCACUUUCCAUAGGCCCUUGCGAUAGACUGGUGUCCUAUUUAGGGGGUGUACUUGUACAUCAAGCUGCCUCACACUACAGAAACAGGAGAAACAGAGCGAACCUUUUUGGCUCUGACGAUGCUUACUUACUAUACAGGUAAUAUUGGGUCAUUUGAGACACAUACUGUGUGAUAGUGGAUGGGGACGGUUCUACUGUGUGGUAGUGGAUGGGGUCGGUUCUACUGUGUGAUAGUGGAUGGGGUCGUUUCUACUGUGUGAUAGUGGAUGGGGACGGUUCUACUGUGUGAUAGUGGAUGGGGUCGUUCUACUGUGUGGUAGUGGAUGGGGACGGUUCUACUGUGUGGUAGUGGAUGGGGUCGUUCUACUGUGUGGUAGUGGAUGGGGACGUUCUACUGUGUGAUAGUGGAUGGGGACGGUUCUACUGUGUGAUAGUGGAUGGGGUCGUUCUACUGUGUGAUAGUGGAUGGGGUCGUUCUACUGUGUGGUAGUGGAUGGGGUCGUUCUACUGUGUGAUAGUGGAUGGGGACGUUCUACUGUGUGGUAGUGGAUGGGGUCAUUCUACUGUGUGAUAGUGGAUGGGGACGUUCUACUGUGUGAUAGUGGAUGGGGUCGUUCUACUGUGUGAUAGUGGAUGGGGACGUUCUACUGUGUGGUAGUGGAUGGGGUCGUUCUACUGUGUGAUAGUGGAUGGGGACGUUCUACUGUGUGAUAGUGGAUGGGGUCGUUCUACUGUGUGAUAGUGGAUGGGGACGUUCUACUGUGUGGUAGUGGAUGGGGUCGUUCUACUGUGUGGUAGUGGAUGGGGUCGUUCUACUGUGUGGUAGUGGAUGGGGACGUUCUACUGUGUGAUAGUGGAUGGGGUCGUUCUACUGUGUGAUAGUGGAUGGGUUCGUUCUACUGUGUGGUAGUGGAUGGGGUCGUUCUACUGUGUGGUAGCGGAUGGGGUCGUUCUACUGUGUGGUAGCGGAUGGGGACGUUCUACUGUGUGGUAGCGGAUGGGGUCGUUCUACUGUGUGAUAGUGGAUGGGGACGUUCUACUGUGUGAUAGUGGAUGGGGUCGUUCUACUGUGUGAUAGUGGAUGGGGUCGUUCUACUGUGUGGUAGUGGAUGGGGACGUUCUACUGUGUGAUAGUGGAUGGGGUCGUUCUACUGUGUGAUAGUGGAUGGGGACGGUUCUACUGUGUGAUAGUGGAUGGGGUCGUUCUACUGUGUGAUAGUGGAUGGGGUCGUUCUACUGUGUGAUAGUGGAUGGGGUCGUUCUACUGUGUGGUAGUGGAUGGGGUCGUUCUACUGUGUGAUAGUGGAUGGGGUGGUGAUCUGAUCCUCUGUCUGUCUGUCUGCGUACCGAUCUGUCUGUGGUGAUCUGAUCCUCUGUCUGUCUGCGUACCGAUCUGUCUGUGUGUUUUUGGGUUAAACUCGUCAGGUUCAUUGGUGUAUCUAGUCAGUCAGAACCUACCAAUUAGAAUCACUGAGGUCACUAGAGAUCAGCCAAACUGAAAUGUUGUGUAGAGUGGAAGGUAAGCAUGUGUACUACAUCAUACACAACAUGUGUACUACAUCAUACACAACAUGUGUACUACAUCAUACACAACAUGUGUACUACAUCAUACACAACAUGUGUACUACAUCAUACACAACAUGUGUAGAGUGGAAGGUGAGCAUUUGUACUACAUCAUACACAACAUGUGUACUACAUCAUACACAACAUGUGUAGAGUGGAAGGUGAGCAUUUGUACUACAUCAUACACAACAUGUGUACUACAUCAUACACAACAUGUGUACUACAUCAUACACGACAUGUGUAGAGUGGAAGGUGAACAUGUGUACUACAUCAUACACAACAUGUGUACUACAUCAUACACAACAUGUGUACUACAUCAUCAUACCUCUGCCUUUUACAUCUGUAAACAGGAAGUGAUAUCAGCAGCAUUUAAACAGUACUGUCCUUCAUUUCAGGUCUUCAGUCAUUUCAGAACAAGAACAACGAAGAUGAACAGUGAAAAACAGCCUGAACGUUAUUAUCUGAAGGCCAAACUAGCUUUUUAGCGGCAGGAAUAUUCUUAGAUACUUUGCCGUAACGGGGGGAAAUAAAAACCUAAAAUGCAUUUAAACUGAACAAUAAAAAUGAGUAAAUCAUACCUCUGCAUUUUUACGUCUGACCCUAAGAAAUCUCUGUUUCAACUAGAAUUGUAAGGGGGGGGUGUAGUGGUGUAAUGUAUUGUGAAGUGUGUGUACACUGAGUAUACAAAACAUUAAGAACACCUGCUCUUUCCAUGACAGACUGACCAGGUGAAUCCAGGUGAAAGCUAUGAUCCCUUUUUGAUGUCACCUGUUAAAUCCACUUCAAUCAGUGUAGAUGAAGGGGAGGAGACGAGUUAAAGAAGGGUUUUAAUCCAUGAGACAAUUGAGACAUGGAUUGUGUAUGUGUGACCAUUCAGAGGGUGAAUGGGCAAGACAAAAUAUUGAAGUGCCUUUAAACGGGGUAAUGGUAGUAGGUGCUAGGCGGUUUGUGUCAAGAACUGCAACACUGCUGGGUUUUUUACCCUCAACAGUUUCCUGUGUGUAUCAAGAAUGGUCCACCACCCAAAGGACAUCCAGCCAACUUGAUACAACUGUGGGGAAGCAUUGGAGUCAACAUGGACCAGCAUCCCUGUGGAAACGCUUUCGACACCUUGUCGAGUCCAUGACCCCGAUGAACUGAGGCUGUUCUGAGGGCAAAACGAUGGUGAAACUCAAUAUUAGGAAGGUGUUCUUAAUGUUUUGUACACUCUCAGUGUAGGUUAAUAUUGAACCUACUGGUUAUUUACCCACAAAUCACCAGGUCCUGGAAGGACAGCUUCUCCCUCCCUCUCAAGCUGUAGUGGUAGAGAACAUCAUUGGUAGCAAUUUUGCAGAGGACAGAAGUUUUUAUUUAUUAUAACCUUUAACUAGUAAUUGAUCUAAAAUGACAGACAAAAGUGAGUGUCAGUUUCCCCAUUAUCCUGAAUACUGUGAUUUACAACCGAUUGUUGUGGGAAGAUCUGGGAACAAAACUGAAUUGGUUCUCGAUUAAUUGUUUCCAGCUUCAUCAGGUUGUUUCGGAAACCGGAAAUAGUUUUAAGUCGAGUACAAAGGUUAUAGUUAAUAGUCCAAUUCAUUUCAAUGUUUUUCUAUACUUUAGUGAACAAUCAUCUCCCCAUAACAUCCUCACACCCUUGUCGAAAUAAAGCAAGAAAGUUGGCUGUGGUCUGUGAUUUAUCCAAGUUAUAUAGUGUCCGUGAUACUUUUACGCAGUAGGCCUUAACCUAACGACACACGGCGACUUGUAACAUUAAAGUUAUAAUCCUUAGUUGCCACAUCCAUUU